rnacentral:rRNA from 1 species
AAGUGACGGUACCUGCAGAAGAAGCACCGGCUAACUACGUGCCAGCAGCCGCGGUAAUACGUAGGGUGCGAGCGUUAUCCGGAAUUAUUGGGCGUAAAGAGCUCGUAGGCGGUUUGUCGCGUCUGUCGUGAAAGUCCGGGGCUUAACCCCGGAUCUGCGGUGGGUACGGGCAGACUAGAGUGCAGUAGGGGAGACUGGAAUUCCUGGUGUAGCGGUGGAAUGCGCAGAUAUCAGGAGGAACACCGAUGGCGAAGGCAGGUCUCUGGGCUGUAACUGACGCUGAGGAGCGAAAGCAUGGGGAGCGAACAGGAUUAGAUACCCUGGUAGUCCAUGCCGUAAACGUUGGGCACUAGGUGUGGGGACCAUUCCACGGUUUCCGUGCCGCAGCUAACGCAUUAAGUGCCCCGCCUGGGGAGUACGGCCGCAAGGCUAAAACUCAAAGGAAUUGACGGGGGCCCGCACAAGCGGCGGAGCAUGCGGAUUAAUUCGAUGCAACGCGAAGAACCUUACCAAGGCUUGACAUGUUCUCGAUCGCCGUAGAGAUACGGUUUCCCCUUUGGGGCGGGUUCACAGGUGGUGCAUGGUUGUCGUCAGCUCGUGUCGUGAGAUGUUGGGUUAAGUCCCGCAACGAGCGCAACCCUCGUUCCAUGUUGCCAGCACGUCGUGGUGGGGACUCAUGGGAGACUGCCGGGGUCAACUCGGAGGAAGGUGAGGACGACGUCAAAUCAUCAUGCCCCUUAUGUCUUGGGCUUCACGCAUGCUACAAUGGCCGGUACAAUGGGUUGCGAUACUGUGAGGUGGAGCUAAUCCCAAAAAGCCGGUCUCAGUUCGGAUUGGGGUCUGCAACUCGACCCCAUGAAGUCGGAGUCGCUAGUAAUCGCAGAUCAGCAACGCUGCGGUGAAUACGUUCCCGGGCCUUGUACACACCGCCCGUCAAGUCACGAAAGUUGGUAACACCCGAAGCCGGUGGCCUAAC